UACGUAGGGGGCAAGCGUUGUUCGGAAUUACUGGGCGUAAAGGGCGUGUAGGCGGCACAGCAAGUCGGGAGUGAAAGCCCGGGGCUCAACCCCGGAAUGGCUUUCGAAACUGCUGAGCUAGAGUACAGAAGGGGCAACCGGAAUUCCCAGUGUAGCGGUGAAAUGCGUAGAUAUUGGGAAGAACACCUGAGGCGAAGGCGGGUUGCUGGGCUGAUACUGACGCUGAGGCGCGAAAGCCAGGGGAGCAAACGGG
rnacentral:rRNA from 1 species